rnacentral:lncRNA from 1 species
CUCAGAUUUCUGCUUUUCGAUUUAAAAUUAAAAAAGAGGAUUCUAGCUUUCUCGCCCAGUUCCUACUUUUACUGAGCGCCUUCGCGAUCGCAACAUUUUUAAAUUUUUACAUUAAGUAAAAGAGUAGUUUUUUUUGUAUCGGUGCUCUCUUUUUCAUUAAAAAACGGAACAAAAACAAUAAAAUCACACGGUUAAUGCUGUUUUCCGGUUGACCUCACCUUCAAAGUAUGGUAAUGUGAGACCAUACGUAUGCAUGACUAUUUUUUAAAUAAAUUAAACGAAAUGAUAUUGUUCUUGUCCUUUAACGCUGUGGAAGUAGACCGGCUCAUUAUUUUUAUCUUCAGGUGGGCCGUCUAGUUUCAGAGAAUACAUUGUUCGGCAGUUCUAAUUGAUCGUCGGGUGCUUCAGAUCUGUUCCAUGUUUUUCAAAUUGACAAACGAGAAUCUUACUGUGAAGUAUUUUAACAUCUAUGUUUGGGCUUCCAAAUCAUCAUAACCGAAGUAUCAUGCCACGUCUCGCGUGUUUCCUAAUCGUAUUCCUCGCCCUCGCAACGUUCGGAAGAGGGAUGCCAGCGCAGACUGUAAAGCAGAAGGAAGUAAUAAAGCACGAAACCACAACGUAUUCGAAUACAGCCGCUCCUGUUGCUCCUAUGUACUAUCCGGCACCCAAUCAACAGGUGUACCAACAACAGCAGUAUAGCUACCAACAGGCCCCAGCAGUAAUAAUGACCACAGGAAAAUAAGAGUGGCAAUAUCACUUCUCGUAUGGCGCUUUAACACAGCGCGACUUAUUACUUUGAUUCGUGUAUUUUGAGCUAGAACACCUAUGCAGGGAGAGUAAUGUCAUCUUCAUCAUUUAAUAUAAAACAAAACUGUGGCGCUCACUGGUUGAUCUGCGAAAAUGCAGGCUUGUCAUGGAGACCUUGGGGCCCAAUGCAGGCGACCAUGAUAACCACAAAAUUUAAGACACGAUAAAUUUUUUUAAUUUCAAGCUUCUAAAGUGAGGUACAAGUAUUAAACAUUGAUUAAUAUUUAUGCCGAGUAUUAUAUUUUUAAAGGUAUCAUUGAUUUUUUCUUGAGGAAAAAAAAGAUAAAAAAGGUCCAUCUACCUUGGGUCAGUUGAUAUAUUUGGACCGCAGAGCCCCAUAAAUGCUUAAAAAUAGAAAAUCAAUCAGAAAUCAAGACCAAGAAGACGAAACUUUUCCUCUAUUGGUAUUCUAUCCUGAGCCGUGAAGCAGUGAAUAAAAAAAUGAACGAAUUGUGCAAAUUAGUGUUCUUUUUUCUUCCUGUUUUUGAACCAUUCGUGUUAAUUUUUCCAGGUGUGUAAAUAGCCUAUGAUGUUGAGGUAGUUUGUAAAAAAAAAAUUAUUCUACUACU